rnacentral:rRNA from 1 species
UACGAACCGUGCGAACGUUGUUCGGAAUCACUGGGCUUAAAGGGCGCGUAGGCGGGUCCGCAAGUCCGGGGUGAAAGCCCCCAGCUCAACUGGGGAAGUGCCUUGGAAACUGUGGGUCUCGAGGGAGGUAGGGGCAUGUGGAACUUCGGGUGGAGCGGUGAAAUGCGUAGAUAUCGUAAGGAAGACCAGUGGCGAAGGCGGGUCUCUGGACAGUUCCUGACGCUGAGGCACGAAGGCCAGGGGAGGCAAACGGGG